rnacentral:rRNA from 1 species
CCUACGGGACGCACCAGUGGGGAAUAUUGCACAAUGGGCGCAAGCCUGAUGCAGCCAUGCCGCGUGUAUGAAGAAGGCCUUCGGGUUGUAAAGUACCCUCAGCGGGGAGGAAGGCGAUAAGGUUAAUAACCUUAUCGAUUGACGUUACCCGCAGAAGAAGCACCGGCUAACUCCGUGCCAGCAGCCGCGGUAAUACGGAGGGUGCAAGCGUUAAUCGGAAUUACUGGGCGUAAAGCGCACGCAUGCGGUCUGUCAAGUCGGAUGUGAAAUCCCCGGGCUCAACCUGGGAACUGCAUUCGAAACUGGCAGGCUGGAGUCUUGUAGAGGGGGGUAGAAUUCCAGGUGUAGCGGUGAAAUGCGUAGAGAUCUGGAGGAAUACCGGUGGCGAAGGCGGCCCCCUGGACAAAGACUGACGCUCAGGUGCGAAAGCGUGGGGAGCAAACAGGAUUAGAUACCCGUGUAGUC